GAUUCUUGCAAUUUUAUAUUUUAAACCAACAUUGACCUUUUUGUGGUUUUAGAUAAUCAUUUGUUCUUCUAAUGAGUGUGCCGAGGAAGCUUAAACUUGAUACCUUUUCUUUAAUUAACUUUUAGAGCAACCAAUAAUCGCAACCACCUCGUUACCUAAAAAAGAAUUGCAACCACUUUAACAUGAUUGAUUAUUUUACAAACUGCUGAUUCUCUUUGUUUCCCCUGAAUUAAACCAUUUUCAUCGAUACAGAAUCAUUAGGUAAUCAAUCAUUAACACUUAGCAAAGGUACCAAACCAAUUCGCUACUAUUCCUUUUUCGAUGCUAUAUAUUGAAUGCACCACGUUCAAUACAAAAGGAAGAAAACCAGAUUGAGCUUCUAAUCAUUUAAGUUCCUAUCUGAUUUUUUUUAAUGUCUUAAUGCGGAAACACCAGUUUUUCCAUUUUUUUUUAAAACGCUACCUUGUAAUAUUAUAUUAUAGUUUUUGAGCGGAAAAUAACUUUUUGAUUCAAGAAAAUUUAGAUUGGGGGAAGACACUUCCUUUGCAAUGUCAAGAAAGAUCACCAAUCUCAAAAAUGUUUAUAAUGGAAUUUGCAUGUCACGUCCCAACGAAGAAGCACACUUAGUGUGAGCGGAAGAUUACCAUAUGUGUCAACCUUACUUGGUAAAGAUGAUUUUUUUGAAACCUGAAAUGAAUGUGUUUUAUUUUAAUUAUUUUAACAUAUUAAAUGUGUUUUAGACUAUGCUGAAGAAGAGGUGUUGGUAAGGAAGAAGGGGAAAGGAGGUACAACUAAAGGUGACAUAUACGUAUAGGAAGCAGAGGAUGGACGUGUAUAUGGAGGAGGGUAUGUGAAGCAAAACACGUACCAAAGAAAGGGGAGGAAGCAAUGAAUGAUAAGCAAAGACCUUAUGAUAAAGAGAUCCUUCUAUUGAAUAUGGGUCAAAGGGGACUAAGGGAAGCCAUUGAAAGCAUGCCUCCCAUCAACACAAUGGGUUCAAGAAUUUAUCUAGAGCACCGAUGAUGAAAGCUCAAGCCAAGCUGAUGAAGUGCACUGGACAUCCUGCCAACACUAUGACUUGUAGUGGCAUCGACUUGAAGAGUAGUAAAUGCGGGAGGGAGUUCCAACUCUGUUAUUGUUGUCAAAGAUGUAAUGGCAGAAGGUAAAAAAUUAUGAACUUUGGCGCAAAAAAUGGGAGGGAUGUUCUAUGGAAGCGAAAAGGAGAUGGUACACGACUUGGUGAACCUUGAAUUGAGAGAUAAUGGGGCAAAAGAAC
rnacentral:lncRNA from 1 species